UACAGGGGGUGCAAACGUUGCUCGGAAUUAUUGGGCGUAAAGCGCACGUAGGCGGUUCGUUAUGUCAGAUGUGAAAGCCCUUGGCUCAACUAAGGAAGUGCAUCUGAAACUGGCGAGCUAGAGUAUGUAAGAGGGUCGCGGAAUUCCCGGUGUAGAGGUGAAAUUCGUAGAUAUCGGGAGGAACACCGGUGGCGAAGGCGGCGACCUGGGACAAUACUGACGCUGAGGUGCGAAAGCGUGGGGAGCAAACAGG
rnacentral:rRNA from 1 species